AUGUCCUCUGGGUUUGGGAAUGUCAAGCAAACGUUCAGAUGGAGCUCCAAGUAUGGCACACACAGACCCAAUAUGGGAUUUAAGUCCAGCAUCGGGUCAAGCUGGUGGCGCGUCUCGAAUCGACUUGUUGGCAGCUGUUGCAACAGGCACCAGUGUUCCGCGGAGAGGAACAUGUGCAGCGACUGGCGGUGCAGACAUGCUUGCAUGAGCAACUGGCAAAUGAUGGGUGCUGCAGUAGAUGGUUCAUCAUCCAAAGUAGAACCAGAGGCUGUGACCGUAAGGUUUGCAAGGAUACUGAUAAAUGAGCCUGCUCCAUCUGAUGUAUACACCUUCUACGGAAAUGGUUUUCAUAUCCUCGUCCCUACAAGCUGGAGACCAACGGGCAAGCCGUCUAGAAGAACUUUGGUCCAGGACAAGGCCCUAGGUGCAAUGGCAUGGUAG
rnacentral:rRNA from 1 species